rnacentral:rRNA from 1 species
GUGGGGAAUAUUGCACAAUGGGCGCAAGCCUGAUGCAGCAACGCCGCGUGAGGGAUGACGGCCUUCGGGUUGUAAACCUCUUUUAGUAGGGAAGAAGCGUAAGUGACGGUACCUGCAGAAAAAGCACCGGCUAACUACGUGCCAGCAGCCGCGGUAAUACGUAGGGUGCAAGCGUUGUCCGGAAUUAUUGGGCGUAAAGAGCUCGUAGGCGGCUUGUCGCGUCUGCCGUGAAAACCCAGGGCUCAACUCUGGGCGUGCGGUGGGUACGGGCAGGCUAGAGUGCGGUAGGGGAGAUUGGAAGUCCUGGUGUAGCGGUGGAAUGCGCAGAUAUCAGGAGGAACACCGAUGGCGAAGGCAGAUCUCUGGGCCGUAACUGACGCUGAGGAGCGAAAGCAUGGGGAGCGAACAGGAUUAGAAACCCGUGUAGUCC